AGAGUUUGAUCAUGGCUCAGAUUGAACGCUGGCGGCAGGCCUAACACAUGCAAGUCGAACGGUAACAGGAAGAAGCUUGCUUCUUUGCUGACGAGUGGCGGACGGGUGAGUAAUGUCUGGGAAACUGCCUGAUGGAGGGGGAUAACUACUGGAAACGGUAGCUAAUACCGCAUAACGUCGCAAGACCAAAGAGGGGGACCUUCGGGCCUCUUGCCAUCGGAUGUGCCCAGAUGGGAUUAGCUAGUAGGUGGGGUAACGGCUCACCUAGGCGACGAUCCCUAGCUGGUCUGAGAGGAUGACCAGCCACACUGGAACUGAGACACGGUCCAGACUCCUACGGGAGGCAGCAGUGGGGAAUAUUGCACAAUGGGCGCAAGCCUGAUGCAGCCAUGCCGCGUGUAUGAAGAAGGCCUUCGGGUUGUAAAGUACUUUCAGCGGGGAGGAAGGGAGUAAAGUUAAUACCUUUGCUCAUUGACGUUACCCGCAGAAGAAGCACCGGCUAACUCCGUGCCAGCAGCCGCGGUAAUACGGAGGGUGCAAGCGUUAAUCGGAAUUACUGGGCGUAAAGCGCACGCAGGCGGUUUGUUAAGUCAGAUGUGAAAUCCCCGGGCUCAACCUGGGAACUGCAUCUGAUACUGGCAAGCUUGAGUCUCGUAGAGGGGGGUAGAAUUCCAGGUGUAGCGGUGAAAUGCGUAGAGAUCUGGAGGAAUACCGGUGGCGAAGGCGGCCCCCUGGACGAAGACUGACGCUCAGGUGCGAAAGCAUGGGGAGCAAACAGGAUUAGAUACCCUGGUAGUCCACGCCGUAAACGAUGUCGACUUGGAGGUUGUGCCCUUGAGGCGUGGCUUCCGGAGCUAACGCGCUAAGUCGACCGCCUGGGGAGUACGGCCGCAAGGUUAAAACUCAAAUGAAUUGACGGGGGCCCGCACAAGCGGUGGAGCAUGUGGUUUAAUUCGAUGCAACGCGAAGAACCUUACCUGGUCUUGACAUCCACGGAAGUUUUCAGAGAUGAGAAUGUGCCUUCGGGAACCGUGAGACAGGUGCUGCAUGGCUGUCGUCAGCUCGUGUUGUGAAAUGUUGGGUUAAGUCCCGCAACGAGCGCAACCCUUAUCCUUUGUUGCCAGCGGUCCGGCCGGGAACUCAAAGGAGACUGCCAGUGAUAAACUGGAGGAAGGUGGGGAUGACGUCAAGUCAUCGUGGCCCUUACGACCAGGGCUACACACGUGCUACAAUGGCGCAUACAAAGAGAAGCGACCUCGCGAGAGCAAGCGGACCUCAUAAAGUGCGUCGUAGUCCGGAUUGGAGUCUGCAACUCGACUCCAUGAAGUCGGAAUCGCUAGUAAUCGUGGAUCAGAAUGCCAUGGUGAAUACGUUCCCGGGCCUUGUACACACCGCCCGUCACACCAUGGGAGUGGGUUGCAAAAGAAGUAGGUAGCUUAACCUUCGGGAGGGCGCUUACCACUUUGUGAUUCAUGACUGGGGUGAAGUCGUAACAAGGUAACCGUAGGGGAGCCUGCGGUUG
rnacentral:rRNA from 1 species